rnacentral:tRNA from 1 species
GGUUUGUGGCUCAGUGGUAGAGCACUUGCCUGGCAUGUGUGAGGCACUAGGUUCGAGUCUUAUCACCA